rnacentral:misc_RNA from 1 species
GGAGUUUAGAAAUUGGCGAUAAAUAUCGAUGAAUAUCCUGAAUAAAAUGAGAUGAAAUUAGCUACUUCCUUGCUAAAGAAGGCGACAAAAAUUCUAACUCAUCGCGUUCUUUCACCUGUGAUCUGGGAAUAAACGAAAUAGCGUUUCUAACGGCAGGGAUAAACGGUGCAUAGAGAAGUUGCACUGGCGAGUGAGAUACUGCAACAAGCCGCGGGUUCGUUUAUCACUGGUGCGCUCCAGAUGAUCCUCAAAUUUAUUGA